UACAGGGGGGGCAAGCGUUGUUCGGAAUUACUGGGCGUAAAGGGCUCGUAGGCGGCCAACUAAGUCGGACGUGAAAUCCCUCGGCUUAACCGGGGAACUGCGUCCGAUACUGGAUGGCUUGAGUUCGGGAGAGGGAUGCGGAAUUCCAGGUGUAGCGGUGAAAUGCGUAGAUAUCUGGAGGAACACCGGUGGCGAAGGCGGCAUCCUGGACCGACACUGACGCUGAGGAGCGAAAGCCAGGGGGAGCAAAACGGGG
rnacentral:rRNA from 1 species